rnacentral:rRNA from 1 species
UACGUAGGGUGCAAGCGUUGUCCGGAAUCAUUGGGCGUAAAGAGCGCGUAGGCGGUCCGGUAAGUCGGUUGUGAAAACUGGGGGCUCAACCCUCAGAGGCCGACCGAUACUGUCGGGCUAGAGUCCGGAAGAGGCGAGUGGAAUUCCUGGUGUAGCGGUGAAAUGCGCAGAUAUCAGGAGGAACACCGGUGGCGAAGGCGGGUCUCUGGGCCGAUACUGACGCUGAUGCGCGAAAGCGUGGGGAGCAAACGGG